GGACACUAGUAGUGCUAGUGGCCAUAAGGAAAGGGAAGUCGGUGAGGUAAGGGUUUUUGUCAAGCCUCAUGUGUCACCAUGCUGCCAUGUUACACAAAUCAAUUGAAGAAAGCUAUGCCAUUUUGGAAGGGUUAAUCACAACUAAUGGAGGGUAGGGAGAGAGGUAAUGAGUGGGGAGAGCCCAGAAUAGCAAAGAAUCAAGGGUGAUGACGUCAAGAGGCGUG
rnacentral:misc_RNA from 1 species